GCGUCCUACGGGAGGCAGCAGUAGGGAAUUUUCGUCAAUGGGCGCAAGCCUGAACGAGCGAUGCCGCGUGAGUGAAGAAGGUCUUCGGAUCGUAAACCUCUGUCAGCAGGGAAGAACGGUCACUGUGCUAAUCAGCAGUGAAUUGACGGUACCUGCAAAGGAAGCACCGGCUAACUCCGUGCCAGCAGCCGCGGUAAUACGGAGGGUGCGAGCGGUAAUCGGAAUUACUGGGCGUAAAGCGCUCGUAGGCGGUAUGUCAAGUCAAGGGUGAAAUCCCCGCGCUCAACGUGGGAACUGCCUUUGAA
rnacentral:rRNA from 1 species